rnacentral:rRNA from 1 species
ACUCCUACGGGAGGCAGCAGUGGGGAAUAUUGCACAAUGGGCGCAAGCCUGAUGCAGCCAUGCCGCGUGUGUGAAGAAGGCCUUCGGGUUGUAAAGCACUUUCAGCGGGGAGGAAGGCGUUAAGGUUAAUAACCUUGGCGAUUGACGUUACCCGCAGAAGAAGCACCGGCUAACUCCGUGCCAGCAGCCGCGGUAAU